rnacentral:rRNA from 1 species
CAGUAGCCGCGGUAAUACGUAGGGUGCGAGCGUUAAUCGGAAUUACUGGGCGUAAAGCGUGCGCAGGCGGUUAUAUAAGACAGAUGUGAAAUCCCCGGGCUCAACCUGGGACCUGCAUUUGUGACCGUAUAGCUAGAGUACGGUAGAGGGGGAUGGAAUUCCGCGUGUAGCAGUGAAAUGCGUAGAUAUGCGGAGGAACACCGAUGGCGAAGGCGAUCCCCUGGACCUGUACUGACGCUCAUGCACGAAAGCGUGGGGAGCAAACAGGAUUAGAUACCCCGGUAGUCCCUGUCUCUUAUAC